GGACAGAAAGACCCUAUGAAGCUUUACUGUAACUUGAGAUUGAAAUUGGACUUUAUUUGCGCAGUAUAGGUGGGAGGCUUUGAAGAUAUUCUUGAGGGAAUAUUGGAGCCAUCAGUGAGAUACCACUCUUGUAAUGUUAGAUUUCUAACUUUGUAUCAUUAUCUGGUCAAAGAACAGUUUCAGGCGGGCAGUUUGACUGGGGCGGUCGCCUCCUAAACGGUAACGGAGGCGCACAAAGGUUUCCUCUGAACGGGUAGAAAUCGUAUCUAGAGUGUAAAGGCAAAAGGAAGCUUGACUGUGAGACCUACAAGUCGAGCAGGGACGAAAGUCGGUCUUAGUGAUCUGACGGUGCUGAGUGGAAAGGCCGUCACUCAACGGAUAAAAGUUACUCUAGGGAUAACAGGCUGA
rnacentral:rRNA from 1 species